CGAACAACUCUUUCUCCCAAAUAGAAUCAGAAUAGUCAUCAUGUGGAGAACGAGAGGUGUCUUUGAUCUUGCAGAUAACCCAUUCUUGGAACGUGUCUCCGGGAAGACGAUACUCAUGCAUUAACCACCUAGUUUUGGUGGCAUCCUUUCGACAUUUUUUCUCAUCCUUGAACUCAAAAAAGUUAAGGGUGCUGACGAACCCUAUUUCCUUUUGCUGCUCAUCAAGGAUAGGCUUCUCAGCGGUUGAAGACCUCCAAUAUCCACCACUGUCUCCAACUCCUAACGUUUCGUCGUAAUGAUGACUUUCAAGAAUCCUUCUUGGUCGUUUUCCAUUUGCAUUCUUCUUGGAAAUCCUCUGACGGUGGGUGAAGAUGAAUCGCUGGUUGCUUUUCAAGAAGGGAAGACCAUUCCCGUUGUUAACAUCGAAAAAGACACUUGGUUUGGUGGAAUAGAUGUCUUCAAAACCAAUCACGUACUGCAAAUCACCUAAACUGCUCAUUGAUUCACCAGAAAUCAACAUGGGGAGAUAGUGGGAAACGAUGUCUCGAUCAGAAGGAUCAAAAACCACGCCUAGGGAAUACAUUGUGAAGGUUUGAUGAGAAGAGUGAUAGUGUUUGUCGUUUACUUGAUGCUGGAAGUAAGAGUUACAGAAGAGCAGUGAUUUUAUUUAUUUAUAUAGGAAACAAAAGACUGCUUAAGAACAACGCCAACUUUAAAAAAAAAAAAGAAAUUAAUCUUGGAUUUUUUUUUAAAUAAUUUACGCGGCAGGCAUGCAGAAGCUUCUGGGAUUGGUCUUCGAUGAAGAGAGUUUCCUCUUAUCUCCCUAAGUUGACUGCUGGCCACGUGGGGUUAUUGGUCUUCUCAUUCUCAGCUUCCAUUCAUGAAAGGCAAGCAACGCUUCUUCUUCAGCUCCAGCCAGAAGUCCAACGGGCAACUGUAGCUCCCUGGUUCACCAAGUCAAGCUCAUCCUUUGAUGGAAAGUUUAGUGGGACUGAGGAAUUUAAAUUAAGCACCGCCUAGAACCUGCCUGCAUGGAAGUACUGCACUCAUUACGAUAGCUUCCAAGUGAUUGCAGGCUUAAUUUUUUUGGUUAAGGUGACAGGGUUUUUACAGAUUUAACUUGGGCACUCUUGAUAUUAACUAAUGCAACUUGAUUAGUUGUUAAUCCAUAACAAAUACUUUGCGUUUUGCCCAUUAUGAGAAUAACUCUUUUCUUGAGUUUGUCUGUAUUGCAGUAUAUAUGCUACAGCUAUGAGCUGAUUUCAUGUGCUUUUCGUUUUGGGUAUGUAGUUAAAUGCUGGUUAAAGUUCACACUAAUGUUGAUUUCACUUAAUUAAAUGCCUUAUUCAUGUCUAUGUGCGAUAGACUUUCCUUGCUCGGAAUUGCAUAUUUGCAAUCACUUAGUUCUCAGGGUCAGUAUUAGCUUCUUUUUGUUUCACUACAUUUGCCAAAUCAAAUUGUGUUAAUUUAAUUAUUCCAUUAGCACUCAUAAUUUUUUUCCUGUAUGCAUGUUUUAGCUCCACUGUGUAACUGGUGUUCCAAACACAAAGAUUUUGCAAGUUUCUUUGGAUAAAUCAUAGGGAAUGUAGCAAUUGAAACAGUCCAAGGAGCCGCUUUGGAUUUUUUCUUCACUCAUUCACUGAUUGCACAAAAAUUGAUGGUAAGUUCGCUAAAGCCAAAAUGUAUGGUAUACAUAAUAUCUAGAUUAAAGAAUAUAAAGAAGUGGACAAUUUUGAGGUAUUGGUUCCUGUACUGUUGCAAUCGUGUGUUGUGAAUGCUUGCGUGAAUAUCUUAAUUAUUCAUUUCUUCUGAUGCACAGGGAGAUGCUGACAAAAAGAGUUGGGCUUCCUUCCAAGAGCGGAUAGCAAAGGCCCCUGAACAAGUUUUGAGGUGAGACGGCUUGCUACUGAAACUGGAAAACUUUUUUGACUUCAUGUGCACCAUAUAACAGUUUAACAGAAGCUAUCACGAUUCCUGGUACUUGUGACUCUGCAAGCGCUUAGGUCAUAUAAAGUGGCCACAUAUAUAUCUUACAUUUCCUUCAUACAGAGAAUGUCAACGUAAAUGGAAGCAACAUUACAUGCCUAUCUGCAUAAGGUUUUCUUCUAAUCAUCAUGUUUGAGAUUGCAGAGAGAUGAAGUUAAAAAAAGCAAAAUUGAAAAAAUCAAACAAAUAGAGGCUGCUGACAGUAUUACUACUGGAAGUCAUUUAUUUCUUUUCUUCCUGCUUUGUUGCCAUACAUACUACGAAGUACAUAUCAACAACUUGUUACUGAAAUAGACUUGACACAAAUUGUCAUUCUCUGUUUUCUCUUUCUUUAGCUUUAUCCCCUUGGUAUUUUCAUUGAUUCAAAGCCCAUGCUUUAACUCACAUACUUGAUUUCUCAUUUUUGAAUGGUAUUUGCUUCUUUCUUAUAUUAACAGGUAUUGUAGGAGUGCUAGUUCUAAACCGCUGUGGCCCUUGUCAGGUGGUCGCCCAUCUAAGGCUGAUAUUGCAAGAUGCAGCUAUUAUGGUGGUCCCUUAUGUUUUGAAUUUCAGGUACUUGGUAAUCUUACCUUAGCAACUUUUUCUUCUCAUAGAAGGCCAACCAUCUAUCAUCAAGUUUUAAAAAGGAGAGAAAAAGCAAAGAGUUAAUGAUCUUCAACAAUCAGUCCAUGGAAGGUUUCUUUUUACACAUUUAAUUUCAUAUUGUAUUUCGUUCCUCCCUGAAAUCUCAACUUUCCAACUAAAAGCAAUAUCUCUAUUCUGUGUUCUACUGCAGCUGUUUGUUGAUGUUUUUGUUUAAUUUUGUUUUUCAGAUCUUGCCUCAGUUGGUUUAUUUCUUUGGUGUGAAGGAUGAAGAUCAUUCUCUUGACUGGGCAACUAUCGCGGUGUAUACAUGUGAAGCCUCUUGUGAAGGUAUUGGUUACAAAGAGGAAUUUGCUUGGGUACAACUAAGUCCAUCAACUAAUUUCCCUUGAUUAUUUGUCUUGUUCCUUUUCUUUUCUUUCUAUUUUCUUGUUUUCCUCUUUAUAAUGUUGGGGUUUGGGUUAUGUUGAGAGAAAAGUUGUAACUAGUUUUCUUAUCAUGAGAGAAAUUAUGCUUUUUUGAGCUUGAGUUUCUGUCUUGAGGCAUUUUAUUUUCGUUCUUUUAAGAUGUGCAAUUGGUGUUCCAAACAGUAUUCCCCCUUUAUUGGGAGACAAGAUUUUGCAUCUUUCUUGGGAUAAAUCAUAGGGAAUGCAGAGAAUAUUUAAAUAGUCCAAGGAGCCCUAUUGGAUUUUAUCUUCACUCAUUCACUGAUAUUGAGGGAGACACUAUAUAAUUGAAGUUUAGUCCUGAUUGCAUAAAAAUUGAUGGUAAGUUGGCUACAGCCAAAUUGUAUGGUAUAUAUGAUUUUUAGAUUAAAGAAUAUAAUAAUAUCUUCAAAGUUUUGUGUCUUGUAUAUUUACCCUUGUGUAGUGUUUUAGGCACUUUGUUUAUAUUUUGGUUGAAAUAAAGCACUCUUUAUUUUUAAAAUGUACCAAAAAGUUUGAAAGUAUAUUCAGGAUGCAUAAUAAGUUUGGUUAUUAUACCAUCAAACCAAAGUAAUUCCCCCUUGAAAAUCCCUUAAGACUGGUUAAGGAAAGAUGCACUUGUAAUAUCCUUGAAACAUAUGUAUCAUUGGAGUUUAUUCAACAGGAUGAUGUUACUGUGUAGCCUUAAUUUUUGAUGCAUAUGCUUUUAGAUAAUAAAAUGAGAGAAAAUUAUGUCUCAUUGAAUAAACCUCAAUCUUUCUCAGGAAUUGACUAUCGCUGCCUGUAUGGUUUGGAAUUGGAUUCCCAGGUGGCUUCAUCUAGCAGGGAACCCAUUCUGCCUCAGAGUUGAGGCAACACACCAAACUUGAAACUAUGGCCAGGCUUUAUUUUCCCAACUAAUACAUUGCUGGUACAGACAGAACUAUAACUGCAAUUUUAAUCCUCUGUUGAUUAAAAGAUUAGCAGGUGAUUUUCAUGUUAGUAUGAAUAAAAGAGAGCAUUUUCAUGUCAAUAUAAAGUGUCAUAAAUCAUCCUCAACAACUGUUGAAAAUAAACCUGUAUGGCGGACAAAAAAAUAUUCGUAUGGAAUCAUGAGGCAAGAGUGGUUAAAGGGCAUACAGUCCCCAAAUAAAAAGAGUUUUUCCCCUAUUUCUUCAUUCUCAUUGAAAUGAAAUUCUCGACCAAUAGAAAUAUCCCUCAAUUGCACAGCAAUGCUCAUAGAUACAAGGGUAUAAAUUGCGAUCUCCACCUAUAAUUAUUGAACAGGCAACUCCCACGAAAAAGUAAUAAAAAAUCAGUUUGUCCUUUUUAUUGUGACAGUCAAAUUAUAUACUAUUACUAUAUGUUCCGGAAAAAUUAGAUCUUCUUUAAAGAAAACAAGUAAACUUUUUCAAGUAUGGGAUUAAAAAUUGAACUUUUGAUUUUGCUAUCUCAUCACAUGCUUGAAAUUAGUUAGUUGAAUCAAUCUGAUAACAACACUGCAUUAUACAAAUUAUGCUACACUGAAUCAAGUUGUAAUUUCGAUAUUCAAACAAGUAGAAUCGAUUUAAGAAAUAAAUUUAAAAUAGUUGAUAAUCAAUGAUAAUAACAUUCUAUUCAUUUCAAUUUAUAAAAAAGAUUUUUACAACUUGAAAGAAGAAAACAAAAAAAAUCAUUUCUAAAUAAAAAAACAAAAGCAAAAUUAUUUCCAUUGAAUCUAGUCGAGUAAGUCCGACAAAUAAUAGGAAUUCAUCGUGGCCAAUGCCUCAUCUACGUCAGCAAUCGGAUCAUUGUCGUUCAUUCCCAGUAACUGCUCCAUCUCCUUGAAGGGGUAAUCAGCAAUCUGACUGUCGUCGUUGAUCUCCAAUAGCUGGUCCACUUCCUUAAAAGGGUCAUCAUCUUUUGAUAUUUCCUUCUCAUGUGCAUACAGUAGUUGAUCAACUUCAUAACGUGGUAGGUUUCCGUUAUUAAAAACGGUGAAUGACUGAGUUUGAAUCUGAUUGUCGUCGUUGAUCUCCAAUAGCUGGUCCACCUCUUUAAAAGGGUCAUCAUCUAGUAGCUGAUCAACUUCAUAACUUGGUAGAUUUCCAUCAUUGAAAACAGUAGAUGACUGAAUCUGAGACUGAUAUUCGUCUUGAUGAUCAUGAUUCUCAUCUGAAUGCGGCAACAAUAAUUUUCCGAACAACUCUUUCUCCCAAAUAGAAUCAGAAUAUUCAUCAUGUGGAGAACGAGAGGUGUCUUUGAUCUUGCAGAUAACCCAUUCUUGGAACGUGUCCCCGGGAAGACGAUACUCAUGCAUUAACCACCUAGUUUUGGUGGCAUCCUUUCGACUUUUUUUCGCAUCCUCGAACUCAAAAAAGUUAAGGGUUCUGACGAACCCUAUUUCCUUUUGCUGCUCAUCAAGUAUAGGCUUCUCAGCGGUUGAAGAUCUCCAAUAUCCACCACUGUCUCCAACUCCAAGCUUUUCGUCGUAAUGAUGACUUUCAAGAAUCCUUCUAGGUCGUUUUCCAUUUGCGUUCUUCUUGGAAAUCCUCUGACGGUGGGUAAAGA
rnacentral:lncRNA from 1 species